rnacentral:rRNA from 1 species
AGUGAACGCUGGCGGUAGGCCUAACACAUGCAAGUCGAACGGCAGCACAGUAAGAGCUUGCUCUUACGGGUGGCGAGUGGCGGACGGGUGAGGAAUACAUCGGAAUCUACUUUUUCGUGGGGGAUAACGUAGGGGAACUUACGCUAAUACCGCAUACGACCUACGGGUGAAAGCAGGGGAUCUUCGGACCUUGCGCGAUCGAAUGAGCCGAUGUCGGAUUAGCUAGUUGGCGGGGUAAAGGCCCACCAAGGCGACGAUCCGUAGCUGGUCUGAGAGGAUGAUCAGCCACACUGGAACUGAGACACGGUCCAGACUCCUACGGGAGGCAGCAGUGGGGAAUAUUGGACAAUGGGCGCAAGCCUGAUCCAGCCAUACCGCGUGGGUGAAGAAGGCCUUCGGGUUGUAAAGCCCUUUUGUUGGGAAAGAAAAGCAGCAGGUUAAUACCCCGCUGUUCUGACGGUACCCAAAGAAUAAGCACCGGCUAACUUCGUG